rnacentral:tRNA from 1 species
GGGUCGGUAGCUCAGUUGGUAGAGCAGCGCCCUUUUAAGGCGUUAGUCGUGGGUUCGAGUCCCACCCGACCCA